AGAGUUUGAUCCUGGCUCAGGAUGAACGCUGGCGGCGUGCUUAACACAUGCAAGUCGAACGAGGUUAUUGACUUCGGUUGGUAACCGAGUGGCGGACGGGUGAGUAACGCGUGAACAAUCUGUCCUGCAAAGGGGGAUAACAACUGGAAACAGUUGCUAAUACCGCAUAAGACCACAGCCUCGCAUGGGGGAGUGGUAAAAGCUGCGAAGCGAUGCAGGGUGAGUUCGCGUCUGAUUAGGCAGUUGGCGAGGUAACGGCUCACCAAACCGACGAUCAGUAGCCGACCUGAGAGGGUGACCGGCCACAUUGGGACUGAGACACGGCCCAGACUCCUACGGGAGGCAGCAGUGGGGAAUAUUGGGCAAUGGGCGCAAGCCUGACCCAGCAACGCCGCGUGAGGGAAGAAGGUUUUCGGAUUGUAAACCUCUGUCCUUGCAGACGAAGGAAGUGACGGUAUGCAAGGAGGAAGCCCCGGCUAACUACGUGCC
rnacentral:rRNA from 1 species